rnacentral:rRNA from 1 species
AUUGAACGCUGGCGGCAGGCUUAACACAUGCAAGCCGAACGCCCCGCAAGGGGAGUGGCAGACGGGUGAGUAACGCGUGGGAAUCUACCCAUCUCUGCGGAAUAGCUCCGGGAAACUGGAAUUAAUACCGCAUACGCCCUACGGGGGAAAGACUUAUCGGGGAUGGAUGAGCCCGCGUUGGAUUAGCUAGUUGGUGGGGUAAAGGCCUACCAAGGCGACGAUCCAUAGCUGGUCUGAGAGGAUGAUCAGCCACAUUGGGACUGAGACACGGCCCAAACUCCUACGGGAGGCAGCAGUGGGGAAUAUUGGACAAUGGGCGCAAGCCUGAUCCAGCCAUGCCGCGUGAGUGAUGAAGGCCUUAGGGUUGUAAAGCUCUUUCACCGAUGAAGAUAAUGACGGUAGUCGGAGAAGAAGCCCCGGCUAACUUCGUGCCAGCCGCCGCCGUAACAC